UAUUCUAAUUUAACUCCUUAAUAAUGCUUAUAAAGUUGUUAAAGGUCUUUUAUGUCUCCCAAAAAUGCUUUUAAACUAGUCACUUGCUUGUUGUUGAAAGUCUUUAGCGUCAACUUUUUAAUUGCUGUCCACUGUAAUGACUGUCACUAUUAUCGAAUAGCACUGACCCAAAACGGCCGUCCCAAAAUGGCUGCCCAUUCACUUGCCCUCAAGAGCCAAUCACAUGCCAAACAAGUUGUCAUCCAAUCAAAAAUGGCAACUUGCCACCUUUGUUUGGUAUCGUGGGCAAGUGGAGGAUGUCAACAAGUAAGAAUUACACACAAAGUCAUUUAUAUUACGUCUUGUUGCUCAUCAGGUAUUGGCACGGUGAAGCAACUCAUAGAUUUAGCACGAGCACUACUUGCAGGACGCAAACAAUUUACCUACAGUUUUGAAUUUGGUAGUUCACAUCCAUUACGUCAAGCUACGACCGAGCCCUGGUUUACGGAAGUGACGUUGGCAAGUCUAGCGGCUUUCCAACACUACUGCCAACUACUAGACAGUUUUCGAGCGUCCACUGAAGGCCCCGAGACGGUCCAUUAAAUAGUGUACGUUCGCUAGUUGUUAGGUAGCUGCUUAUGCUAUCCGGUCAUGUAGACACAUUAUGAGGUUUCGACCCAACCUGGAAAAUUAAUAAGCAACCCCCGGAGGAAAAACACUAAGGGACGUUUGCAAACCCACUGUGUGCGUUAUGCUAACACAGCUAGCGAGUCAACUACGGUAUCUUACAGACGUUGACUGACGUUAACUAGCCGUGUCGUAUGCCGUGGCGUCCAUCGGCUUUCCAGAAUUCAUUCAUGUUAGUAGGUAGCCGAUCGUGACAUCGAGCCAUCAAAAAUUAUGAGGGUAGAUUUGCAGCUAGCUUGCUAGUGAUGCUAUAGUUACCUGAAACGGAUUGUUGAAGUCCGGGUCGGCGAACGGGUUGCUGUCAAAGUCGGACAUUUUCCAGCCUUUCAGAUAAGCCUUUCCGGUGUGUCACUAUGCCCCGAACUGCCUAGCUGUCUAUAUUCGUUCCCUGUCUUUUGGCUUCCCCUUGCUGCCGGCCGCCUGCGGUCUUUUCCGCCUCCCGACCGCUGAUGGAGGACCGUCCGCCCGUUAGCAAAGAACAAAACGUGAAAUGUGUGACGUCAUACAUUCAGCACCGCGGAUAGCGUGACGUCACCACCAAAAUUCGCGAGAGUACUAUUCACACACGUCAUUUUUGCCAGAUGUUGAAAUUAUGACGUGCAUUUAAUUAAAAAUUACUAUUGCAAGCCCUCUAAAUAUAUAGUAAUUAAAUUCCCUCAAUCCGCUACGUCACGUGACCAAAACCGGUGAGCGGUGUCCUGUGCAACAACUCCAAGCUUGUGAGAUUUUCUUUUUUACAUGAGCUGAGCGUUUUUCCCCCACAGUGUUUUCAGAAUUCAGCAGAUAUAAAUGUCGGAUAAAAAAGGUUUUUGCCUGGGGAAGACUUCUAUAGGUGAAAUACUUGUGUACUUUGAACGCACAGAGAUCUCGUCACAGCAUGACAGUUGUAAAUCCCAGAAAAUACAACCCAUGUGAUCAAAAACGUUCAAAAGGUAUAUGGUAGGCUCAGCCAAAUGUCAUUUGCAGCAUAGAUAUAGUAUUAUAUAGUUUUGCAGUAUAGAUGGAUGCUCAACUAAAAUUGACGGGCGUUUUCUGCAUGGUCCUAGUGAGUGUUCUUGGUUUCAUUUUAUUCGUUAACAUUGUUUUUCAUAAUAAAAUGAAAGAAGACCAAAACUGCUGGAGAAAUUUCACUGACUACGGCACAGGUGUCAAACUUGGGGCACCGGAGCCAGACCAGGUCCGCCACAUCAUUAUGCGCGGCCGGCAUAAGUCAAUAAAAAGUCAUUAAAAUUGCCAAAAUGUUUCAAAACGUUAAGAAAUUGGAAGCAUUUGUUGUUACCAUUCCCACUUUUAAAAUAGAAGGAAUAAUUGUUGAACAAAAGGUUUUUACUGGUUCCUGAUUCCAAAACUAGACAUCAUUCUUUUUGUUGUGUAUCUCCCUUUUUAGAGAAAGUUGGACAAAGUGUAUUGGGGACUAAAAUUGUGUCUGCUGAUUUUCAUGUGAUGUGAAGCACCUUUACCUUGUGUUAAAUUCUGCUAUUCAAAUAAAUUUGCCUUGCCUAAAAGUGCCAAGGUUAAUAAAUAAAUACACAAUUAAUAAUUUCAUAGUUCUGUGGUAUGGGGGACUAAAAGUGCCAUGGGUUUAAAUGCAAACAUGUUAUUAGAUGUGUCAUUAAUUAAUUUAAAUGGCAAUUCUGUUCAAGUAAAAAAUAUUCAAUUUCAUUUUUUAUUAUCAUAUACUAUUCAAUUCAUCAUUAUUGGAUGGUCCUGUGUAGUUGCAGUGCUUCAUGAAUUUUAUUUUUCAACCUCGCCAGUCAAAGUUAGUGGCCGGAUCCGAAUACCUGAUUGAGCCAAGCACAAUCCUCUUCUGAACUAUUUUCCUUCCACCUCUGUACAUCCUGGAUCAUCCUUACAGCCACCUUAUCCACAUCAACACCAAGUCCAAGCCCGCCAAGUCCAGUCCCUUCCCACAAACAGACUGCUAGUGGAAAAAGAAGCACAGUGUGGCUGGGCCGCUGUGGCUGACGGGGCUGAGUCCUUGAGGAGAUCAUGCGUCUGUACAAAGUACAGGACAAGCUCUGAUGUUAGAGCUUUGGAAUGAUUCCCGAGCUGCUGCUCUUGUCCCCCCCCAUCCCUUUCUGGUCUGUUUCGUCCAAAUGUCUUCAUGGUAGCAUUCAUGGUUUUACCUGCACAUCCCUUUUUGGAUGUUUAUUUAUUUAUUAUUAUUAUUAUUUUUUAACGUGAUUUGCCCUCAUAAUAUAUUUCUGUUGCUUUUAUUUUUGCAUUGGCGCCCAAUAACCGGAGAUUUGUGUGAACGGGAAGUGACACUAAAUCAACAGGAAUCAACUUGGAAAUGCAGUAGGAUCUAAAGGAAGCAGCCCGGAAAUGCCUAAAAAAUCAACAGGAAAUGAGCCAAUAUUUACAGGAAGUAUCUUAAAAUUACAUGGAAGUGACACAAAAUUAAAUCAAUGACUGCCAUUGAAAACGAUAACCGUCCAAUUAACUUACACAUACAGUAAAUGCUCAUCUUCCAGUGCCACGCCUCGAUGUCCAAUCCAUUUUGACUGGGA